rnacentral:misc_RNA from 1 species
UUUUUAAUUGUGAAAUUAAGAUCGUGAAUGCAGAAUUUUAGUAAAAUUAAGAAGUUCAGGUUAUUUAGGAAUUCUAUUAUCAUUUGUGAAUAUUUAUAAGGUUAUAGCAGGUUUAGAAUUUCCUAGUAAGUAUUGGUUUAGUAUUUUUCUAUUUUGGGAUUCCUAAUCCUAAUAAUAAUAGGACUAGUUGAUAUAAUAUAAUUACCUAUGCCCUCUAGGUAAUUUGGCAGAGUUUGUUAUGGUUAUUGUUGGCAUUGACAAUUAAUACAAAAUUUGAGAAUUUGUUUUCCCCUCUUGUGUGUUCUAUUGAUUCUCCAUCAAUUUGCUAUUAGAGCUACUUUGAUCUGUUUGCCUUUGAAAUGAACAAUAAGGGGGAGAGUUUGUUAUGAUUAUUAUUGACAAUUGAG